rnacentral:sRNA from 1 species
CUAAGGACCCAUGACCUUAGGAAGGGGUUUUCUAAAAAUCAGAAUUCCUUCAUUUUGCUAGCUUUCUUUCUUUCUCUCUCUAAAACCCUUGUCCUAAAAUUCUCUCUGCCUUCUCUCUAGAUUUUCUCUUUGUUGAAUCGAUCAAAUUUUGAUUUGAAGGUGUUUCCGCGCUCGCUGCACCAAGGGCUUCAGUUUGAACCGAACGUUUUUCCAUUCCGAUCGGUGCUGUCAAACUCGCCUCUGUGGGGAGGACUGCUAGAGCGUUCCUAGGAGUGGUACUGUUAAGCUUUCCAGAGGAAGAUGAGGUUUCUUUAGAGGCAACAUUGGAGAGAAAUGAAGAUGAUGCUGCAGCUUAGACUCACUAGGAAUUCUUAGUUCUCUUAUGUCAUUUUGAAGAACCUUGUUAUGUUUUAAGUUUCAAAUUCUGGACAUAUUUUGGAAUACUCUAGUGCUUGAAGUUUUAAUUUCUUAGUAAAUUCUGGAAGACUGUAAUCCUAUAAUACUUUAAGUACAUCUCUUAACUGCUUUCUAAUAUUAUAAA